CUACGGGACGCACCAGUGGGGAAUAUUGCACAAUGGGCGCAAGCCUGAUGCAGCAACGCCGCGUGAGGGAUGAAGGCCUUCGGGUUGUAAACCUCUUUUAGCAGGGAAGAAGCGAAAGUGACGGUACCUGCAGAAAAAGCACCGGCUAACUACGUGCCAGCAGCCGCGGUAAUACGUAGGGUGCAAGCGUUGUCCGGAAUUAUUGGGCGUAAAGAGCUCGUAGGCGGUUUGUCACGUCUGCUGUGAAAAUCCAAGGCUCAACCUUGGACUUGCAGUGGGUACGGGCAGGCUAGAGUGCGGUAGGGGAGAUGGGAAUUCCUGGUGUAGCGGUGGAAUGCGCAGAUAUCAGGAGGAACACCAAUGGCGAAGGCACAUCUCUGGGCCGUAACUGACGCUGAGGAGCGAAAGCGUGGGGAGCGAACAGGAUUAGAUACCCUGGUAGUC
rnacentral:rRNA from 1 species